rnacentral:rRNA from 1 species
CUGGUUUUCCAGGCAAAUCCGGAAAAUCAAGGCUGAGGCGUGAUGACGAGGCACUACGGUGCUGAAGCAACAAAUGCCCUGCUUCCAGGAAAAGCCUCUAAGCAUCAGGUAACAUCAAAUCGUACCCCAAACCGACACAGGUGGUCAGGUAGAGAAUACCAAGGCGCUUGAGAGAACUCGGGUGAAGGAACUAGGCAAAAUGGUGCCGUAACUUCGGGAGAAGGCACGCUGAUAUGUAGGUGAAGCGACUUGCUCGUGGAGCUGAAAUCAGUCGAAGAUACCAGCUGGCUGCAACUGUUUAUUAAAAACACAGCACUGUGCAAACACGAAAGUGGACGUAUACGGUGUGACGCCUGCCCGGUGCCGGAAGGUUAAUUGAUGGGGUCAGCGCAAGCGAAGCUCUUGAUCGAAGCCCCGGUAAACGGCGGCCGUAACUAUAACGGUCCUAAGGUAGCGAAAUUCCUUGUCGGGUAAGUUCCGACCUGCACGAAUGGCGUAAUGAUGGCCAGGCUGUCUCCACCCGAGACUCAGUGAAAUUGAACUCGCUGUGAAGAUGCAGUGUACCCGCGGCAAGACGGAAAGACCCCGUGAACCUUUACUAUAGCUUGACACUGAACAUUGAGCCUUGAUGUGUAGGAUAGGUGGGAGGCUUUGAAGUGUGGACGCCAGUCUGCAUGGAGCCGACCUUGAAAUACCACCCUUUAAUGUUUGAUGUUCUAACGUGGACCCGUAAUCCGGGUUGCGGACAGUGUCUGGUGGGUAGUUUGACUGGGGCGGUCUCCUCCUAAAGAGUAACGGAGGAGCACGAAGGUUGGCUAAUCCUGGUCGGACAUCAGGAGGUUAGUGCAAUGGCAUAAGCCAGCUUGACUGCGAGCGUGACGGCGCGAGCAGGUGCGAAAGCAGGUCAUAGUGAUCCGGUGGUUCUGAAUGGAAGGGCCAUCGCUCAACGGAUAAAAGGUACUCCGGGGAUAACAGGCUGAUACCGCCCAAGAGUUCAUAUCGACGGCGGUGUUUGGCACCUCGAUGUCGGCUCAUCACAUCCUGGGGCUGAAGUAGGUCCCAAGGGUAUGGCUGUUCGCCAUUUAAAGUGGUACGCGAGCUGGGUUUAGAACGUCGUGAGACAGUUCGGUCCCUAUCUGCCGUGGGCGCUGGAGAACUGAGGGGGGCUGCUCCUAGUACGAGAGGACCGGAGUGGACGCAUCACUGGUGUUCGGGUUGUCAUGCCAAUGGCACUGCCCGGUAGCUAAAUGCGGAAGAGAUAAGUGCUGAAAGCAUCUAAGCACGAAACUUGCCCCGAGAUGAGUUCUCCCUGACUCCUUGAGAGUCCUGAAGGAACGUUGAAGACGACGACGUUGAUAGGCCGGGUGUGUAAGCGCAGCGAUGCGUUGAGCUAACCGGUACUAAUGAACCGUGAGG